rnacentral:lncRNA from 1 species
GGGGAUGUUUUAUUUAAUAAGCCUUACUGAAAAAGAAUGUCUCGAGAACCCUGUUGAGGAGGGACUUGACCCGAUUAUCAAAGGAAAGAUUGCACCAGAUUGUUGGCAAGUGUUUGUAGAUAUGAUGGUAACUUGCUUGAAUUAUGAACCAGAUGAGCGACCAACAAUUGGUGAAGAGGAGGUGCAACUUGAGCAUGCUCUAUCCAUGCAGGAACAAGCUGAUAUCACAAACUCCAACUCUGAGUAUACCUUACUGUCCAAAACCAUUAUUUCCCUGGGAGUGAAACAAUUUGAUACUGAAAAAAUUCUCUGAAAUUGAGUUAGUGUUUUUAGUCAAAACAGUUAGAGUAAGCUGAAAUAUUAGUUUAGAACGUGUAGCUUUUGCUGUGAUACAUGCUUCCAGCAUUUUCUAUUUUUAUGUCAUAGAAUUCAAUAAUAUGUUAUAAUUAUUUAGAAUUGUUAAAUGUUGUAAUAUCGAACAUGGGUUGUCAAAAUAGGUUUUUCGUUUUAACAGAGGCUCUCAUCUAUAAUCGUGUAUUAGUAACUAAUUAGUAAUGAUAGAAACUCCUUGCUGAUUCAGGCUUUAAAUUGUUCUAUCUACUGUCUCUGUUUUAGCCUAGUUGGAAUUACUUGCCACCAACACUUUCCCCUUAUACUAACUUUUAAGUAUUAAAGUAAAUGCUUGAUCUUAAAAAAGGCAUCUGGUCGAACCAACAUUAUUUACAGCUGAUCUUUUCAAUUUCAAAAAUCUUGAGUGAAAUUUAAUAACUAUAUUAACAACAGAAAAGUCAGUUUGUAACAUGUCCCAGUAGCAUACAUCUUAAAAAUGUGUGACCAUUAAAUAAAGUACUUAAACACUUGUCUUUAGUUUUGAUUUUUUUAAUGGAUAAAAGGAUAUGUAUUUAAAAUAUUAACAGUCUUACCUUGGAAGUACCCCAAUUUGCUUAACUGUGAAAAUUGAAGGGAAGUAGAGGUGAAAGAUGCUUCAAGUAUGAACCUGAUAAAUGGACCAACUUUGAGUGAAUUAGAAGUGGAACUUCAGCAUGAUCUGUAGCAGGAACAAACUGAUAUCACAAACACCAAUGCUGAUGAUUAUAAACCCCCAAAAAAAAAACUUAUUUUUCAAAACCAUUAUUCACCCAAAACUGGGAAUUUGAGCAUGCUCUGCCAUUGCACCAACAGGAUUGUUAUCUUUGAGAUUUCCUAUUAUUUAUUUCUAACAUUUGGUACCUUCCUUUUGAUUGGUCCUUUUUGAUGAGAUUCUGUAUAUUCUCCUUACUGUUUUACAUCAGUUUUUCCUUGCUUAUAACACCACCAUUGUAUGAAUCUAUAUAGUAAGACAAAGUAUUAUAAUAUAAUUCUUUGAACCAAAAAAGUUAGCUAUGUGGAAAUAAACACUCACUCUAUUUAGGCUCAAUUUGAAUCCUCCCACUUUAUGAGAACUUCUAAGAUAAAUUAUUUUAGUUCUAGAAAAGUUUACUUAUAUAAGUUGAUUUUAACUUUGAUUUAGUUUACCUUCUUAAUUUAUUAAUUAAUUGUAUUCUUUUUUCCUAUAAAUAACUUUUGGGGUAUAAUCUUUAUCUGUCUUUUUUAUAAGAAAAAAGGAAGAAAAAAACUACCUGUAACACAAUGUUUCCACAAAGGCAUUGGGAAUUGGCUCAACAGCAAUCCAUUCCCCAUCUUUCCAAUUCUCAACCACAUGUUUGGUGGCUCUUCCACUAUUUGUGUAGAGCUUGCACCUUCCAUUUGGAUCCUUAGUGUCGUUUAUCUUUUCAUCCUAAGGCAUGCCAUGGAAUUCUUUUGAAAAUAUUCCGUGUAGCAUCCACUAUAUCCUUAGAAACUCUAUGGUUGAUAACCUAGCAAGUUUAUCACAGUUUCAGAUUAACCAAAUAUACAUACAAGCACACAAAAUCAAGGCCAAACAUCUAAGACUAUAUAAAAUGUGUAGUAUUUCUCAUAAGAAACAAUUUAUUGGCCACAGCAAGUUAUAUAUAUAUCAGACAACACCAAAGAUAUCCAUCACGUGUGUUCAACCAAUAUAGUGGCACAUAUGCUGUUAGGAACUAUAGUAACAGAAAAAUGCUAAAUGAUUACACACAUAUUUAUAGGUAGAUUGGAUGCCACUGCAAAAGAAAAAACAAACAAAUAUAACCAUUUGAAGUAAUAAAAAAUUGUAUUGCAUUAUAAAACAAAAUUUACAAGAGAGUCUUUAAAAUAAUAUAGUAUAAUAGAACCAUUGGAAGUGGAGAUUUCUGUCGUUGAUGGGAAGAAUAUGUAUAAUUAAAUCAGUUUUAACCGCUAUUCCUCUAUUCUCUUUAUCCUAUUUUAAAUCCUCGGAGUCGGUUUAGGCUUGGGGAAGGAUAGCAGGUAAAUGUCUUGGGUAAGUUGGGAGAAUAUGUGUAAACAGUGGAGGCAGACGGUUUGGGAGUUAAAGAUAUAAGAAAGUUCAAUGGAGUUGUUCUAACUAAAUGGAAGUGGCGAUUUGUAGGUGAAGAAAAAGGGUUGUGGAAGAAUAACCUAGUAUCUAAAUACGACCCCUUUUGAAAAAUCAAUCCAGGUGGUGGAGAGAUUUAUCUAAACUAUGUGACCAGGGGGAGGAGAAGGGUGGUUCUAAGAAGCUCUGGAAUGGAAAGUGAGUUGUGGAGACAAAGUUAGAUUCUGGGAGGAUGUUUGGGUGGGCGGAAAUAAACUUAGUUCUGUGUAUCCUAGGUUGUUCACCCUUGGAAAGGAUCAGGGGCUAACAGUGAGCGAGGUGGGCGUAUGGGAAGACUCGGCUUGGAUCUGGAAACUAAGAUGGAGGAGGGUUAGGUUUGAAUAGGAAGUUGUGCAAGAAGCGGAAAUGCUUUGGUCUUUGUCAGGGGGCACUCUGAAUAGGGAGGCAAAGGACACACACUAGUGUGGAGAGGGAAUGCAAUAGGAAGAGUUUUCUGUGAAGUAAGCUUAUGAACGUUUUUCUAACUCUUACAUAAGUCCUCCUAACGGGCUGUUCAAACAGUUGUGGCAAUCUAAAGCAAUGCUCAAAGUCUGGACAACUGCUUGGAGGGUUCUGUUAGAUAGAAUUCCAACUCGUUCCAGCUUAGUCAGGAGAGGAGUUUUGGUUAAUUCAACUAGUUGUGCUCUUUGCCAUGUUGUUCAACAUCUAUUUAUAGAGUGUCCCAUAGGACAAAUAGUGUGGUCUCUCUGCUUUAAGUGGGUAGGUAUCCUGUUCUUACAACAUAAGUUACUUCGAGAACUUCCCCUUAGAAGAGUUGAGUUCAAAGCAGAACUUGGUCUGGAAAAUUAUGUGGGGGACAAUGGUGAGACGACUAUGAGAACAAAGAAACUCUAUUAUUUUUAAGAAGGGUUCCUGAUGCGGAAGAAAUCUUUCAUAUGACACAGCUUAAUUCAUGGUUGUGGUUUGAAACAUAAGACUCGCUCUUUCAAUUAUUCUUUCUCGGAUUGGCCUAAAUCUGAUCCUAUCCAUCAAAAGUCAAAUGUAAAAGGAGGGGAAGCCUGUUUGGGAGUGCAGUCAGUCGGCUAAAUGAAGUUUGAGAUGGGAGGACAAGGCAGAGGAAGGAAUAGUAGAGAUAGUGCAGAUCAUCAAGCAGGGAGAUGUAGGACCUGCUCUUGCUCUGAGCAGUAUAGAAAGGUAUCUUGAUCAGGAGGACUUGGAAGAUGGCUUGCUGUGAGGUGCUCUAGUGAAGGCAAAGGUGUUGUACUUGCCAAAACCGUUUUCGGAGCUUUAUUGGAGGUGUAGCAGAGAGUGUAUGACAGCUGUAAGGAGAUACAGCAGCACCGUUUAUGCAGUAGAGGAAUUGUUGUAGACGCUUUGGAAAGGUCACCUUGUAGCUUCUUGGUGGUGCUGCAGGACAGAUUCUAGGGAGAGCGCUGUAAUGGUAUCUGUGCUAGUGCUAGAGGUAGUCAAAGAGAUGCAUUUAUAGAAGGAAGUGUGAAGAGCAAACAAUGUUUUAUAGGGUACUUGAAAAUGUGUGUUCUGGUAUAAUCUGCAUAUUUAUGCAAUGAGGCAUUGCUUGAAUAUGCUUGCGUCAUGCAGCAUGCUAGUCUUGUUCUUAUGGACGCUUGUGGUAUUCUUAAGUGCCUUGCUAAUGCGAAUCUUAGGUAGCAGCUGGUGCAGUUUUGUAUAUUUGGCAUUGUGGAUCCCUGAUUAUGGUGCUUAAGCCAAGGCUGAGGCUAUGUUGUUAACCUGUAAGGGCCAAGCCAGCAGGUUCUGUUCUGGUUUUUUGCUUUCUAUGCCUAUUUCUGUUUUAUGCAGCAAAAGGAACCUUGUGAGCACAUGGGAAGUAGUACAAAUAGCUAUGGCUAGAGAGGAGGUGGCUCAAGACUUCACCAGCAUAGACUGCGGAGCUCAAGCAGAUGUGAGAUAUACUGAAAUAUCCACAUACAUAGAUUCUUUUCAGAUGCAAAUUUGUUAACUGGUGUGAAGAUUCUUGGAAAAUUGGAAGUUCUUAUAAGGAAGUGAAGAGCUCGGUUUCUGAAGCAUGAUUGCAAAGUGUUGUGUCAUAGAAUCAAAUCACGGUGGUUUGAUAGCUGCAGCAGGAUGGAUAAAAAAACCUUUGGCUUUUGCUUUUGAACCUCGUCAAUACCUCUGUUGAGGGACUUUUGAGGUCUUGAAAUCACAUCAGCAGCAUAUAGGGAGUUACAUCAGAAGGGUGUAUGGCUGUUCUUAUGUAGGGGAUGUGGCCAAUCAAUUCUGCAGGUGCUGUUUUGGUGUAGGGUAAUCGGUGUAUGGCUGCUCUUAGACAAAGGAUGUGGCCAAUUCUGCAGGUGCUGGCUUCAUGCAGGUUAAUCUGAAGCAGGGGGUUUUCACCAAUUCUGCAGAUGGGAAGGACUCUGUGAUGUGGUCUUUUGGCUUUAAGUUUAGGGUUUAGGCUUUAAUUUAUUUAUUUUUUGAGUCAGUGUAAUUUACAAAAUAUAGAACACAUAGUUACUUAUUAUAAAUAGAAUUCAGAUUUAUAUGAACAAGUUGAAUUUUUUUUACUAAAAAAUGUCAAUUUUAAAGAAUUUAUUUUUUAUUUUUAUAAUUAUAAUAAAAAUUUAUAUAAUAAAUUUAAAUUAUUAAAAAAUCAUUUUAUUUACUUUUUAAAAUUUUGUUGAAACCGUGUUAAAAUUUUCAUAAAUAUAAAAAACAAUGUCUUUUGAAAUGGAGAUUUUAACCACUCGUGUUUUAUAAGUGUUGUGUGUUCACUGUCGGAAACAAGGACACGUAAGAAGAAAACGCCGCCUUAUUAAAAACUGCAGGAGAUCUUAUUUGGGGAAGAUUCCAACCCAACCUUAAAUAUGCAUGACAAGCCAAACGAUUGAGGAGCAACAUAGUUCAAUGUGUAUGGUAAGUGACAAGUGAGAACUACUUAAGCAAGAAGGUGUCACAAAUUGGAACUAUGUUUCUGAAUUGUGUGGGCAUGUGUUGUUCGAAGCCCACAACAAAUACAACUUCAUCUCAGAGACAGUUUCCAACGUUGAUAGAAGAGCUGUGCCAUCAAUUUUCUCUCUCCGAUCUUAGGAAAGCCAUCAAUAACUUUGAUCAGAAGAGAGUAAUAGGAAGUGGAUUUUUUAGUGAAGUAUAUUAAGGGUGUCUGCAGCAUGAUGGUGCUUCUGAUUACACGGUCGCAAUAAAGCGAUUUCAUUAUCAAGGAUGGGAAGCGUUCAACAAGGAAAUCGAAUUGCUAUGCCAGCUUCGUCACCCUAGAUGUGUUUCUCUUAUAGGAUUCUGCAACCACCAAAAUGAGAAGAUUCUUGUAUACGAGUACAUGUCCAAUGGAUCUCUAGAUAAACACCUUCAAGAUGGUGAACUAUCAUGGAAGAAGAGGCUAGAGAUCUGCAUAGGAGUAGCACGUGGACUACACUACCUUCACACUGGUGCCAAGCGUUCCAUCUUUCACUGUAUCCUCGGUCCUAGUACCAUCCUUUUGGAUGACCAAAUGGAGCCAAAACUCGCUGGUUUCGGUGUUAGCAUGCAGGGAUCACGUUUUAUGUCAAAGCAGAAGCAAAUCAAUGUAGAUCGUGUUUUGGGUAAUUUUUGUUUUGUUGUAUGAGCUCACUCACUGCAAUGAAUUUUUGUGGAUCAAACUAAGCUAAUACUCUUUGUUAUAGGUACUUUUGGCUACCCGGCUACGGACUAUGUCAUGGAUGGUACCAUCACAGCUAAAUGGGAUGUUUUCUUAUUUGGUUUGCUUCUACUAAAAGUUGUGUGCAGGAGCAUAUUUUAUUUAAUAACCCUGACUGAAAAAGAAUGUCUGGAGAAUCCUGUUAAGGAGGGAAUUGAUCCGAUUAUCAAAGGAAAGAUUGCACCAGAUUGUUGGCAAGUGUUUGUAGAUGUGAUGGUAACUUGCUUGAAGUAUGACCCAGAUGAGAGACCAACAAUUGGUGAAGUGGAGGUUCAACUUGAGCAUGCAGGAACAAGCUGAUAUUACAAACUCCAACUCUGAGUAUACCUUACUGUCCAAAACCAUUAUUUCCAUGGGAGUGAAACAAUUUCAUACUGAAGAAAUGUAAGUGACCAGAUCACUGAAAUUGAGUUUAGUGUUUUUAGUCAAAACAGUUAGUAAUCUGAAAUUUGUUUAGAAUUUAGAUACUUGUGUAGCUUUUGCAGUGAUACAUGCAUCCAGCAUUUUCUAUUUUUAUGUCAUAGAAUUCAAUAAUAUGUUAUAAUUAUUAAAUGUUAUAAUAUCGAACAUGGGUUGUCAAAAUAGUUUUUUCGUUUUAACAGAGGCUGUCAUCAAUAAUCGUGUAUUAGUAACUAGUAAUGAUAAAAAUUCCUUCCUGUUUGAGACUUUAAACUGUUCUCUGUACUGUCUCUGUGUUAGCCUAGUUGGAAUUACGUGCCAAUAUUUUCCCCUUACACUAACUUUAAGUAUUAAAGUAGAAUAAUUGAAGUGGGGAGAGGAAGAAUAAUUGAAGAGAGAGAUAAUGGGGACAGAGGGAGAGAGAUGUUACAAAUAGUCUUAGAGAGAGAAAAACAAGCUCAAAUUGAUUUUAUGUAUUGAUUUGAUUCUCACAUGCUUGAUCUUUUUUAAGGCAUCUGGUCGAACCAACAUUAUUUACAGCUGAUCUUUUCAAUUUCAAAAAUCUUGAGUGAAAUUUAAUAACUAUAUUAACAACAGAAAAGUCAAUUUGUAACAUGUCCCAGUAGCAUACAUCUUAAACAUGUGUGACCAUUAAAUAAAGUACUUAAACACUUGUCUUUAGUUUUGAUUUUUUUAAUGGAUAAAAUGAUAUGUAUUUAAAAUAUUAACAGUCUUGGAAGUAGAGGUGAAAGAUGCUUCAAUUCAAGUAUGAACCUGAUAAAUGACCAACUAUGAGUGAAGUAGAGGUGGAACUUCAGCAUGAUCUGUAGCAGGAACAAACUAAUUUCACAAACACCAAUGCUGAUGAUUAUAAACCCUAAAAAAAAGCUUAUUGCUCAAAACCAUUAUUCUCCCAAAACUGGGAAUUUAAGCAUCCUCUCCUAUUGCACCAACAGGAUUGUUAUCUGUGAGAUUUCUACUAUUUAUUUCUAACAUUUGGUACCUUCCUUUUGAUUGGCCUUUUGAUGAGAUUCUGUAUAUUCUCCUUACUGUUUUACAUCAGUUUUUUUGUUGCUUAUAACGCCACUAUUGUAUGAAUCUAUACAGUAAGACAAGUUAUGUUAUUUAAGGUUUAAACAUUUUAAGAGUUAGAUGGCUGCUGUUUGACUCAACAUAAGCAUAAAGUAUUUAGUUGAUAAACAAUCGUGAAAUUUAUCUAAUGUUAUUAUAUGUAUCAAGAUGGACUUUCGUUGUUGGAUAAAAAUAAAAGUUUUAACAACUCACUUCCCUAUUCCCACAGAAAAGUAGUUAUUUUCUGUCUGAUUUGCAAACUCUACUUUGCAACAGGUUCAUCUAGUUUCUUCAAGCAGUCAAUAUAUCUGUCUCAACUAUUACUGAAGGGAACUUUGUUUUAGUUAGCUUUAAUUGUAUACUUUAGUUAGCCUUAAUAACAAAGAAGAAAGCAUAUUGUGAUAUGUUUUCCAAAUCUGCACAACAAAACAUAUUUCAUCAUAUGCAUUUGAUUUUUGGUUCACCAGAAUGCCAAGAUUUCACCUUAUACUAAUGUUCGGUCUGAAAAUUAAAAAGUCUGAACAAUAACUAUUUCUGUCAAGAUCCAAUUUAUCAUUUGAUUUAGUCACAUGCACAGAAAUAGGAAGAUUUGAAUAAAAAGAAAACAUGAAAUGAUUGCAGAAAUGGGCUCAGGGAGUUAAGUCAAAGAGAGUUCUAGGCGAUCCCAAAUAAGUUAACGCCCCUACGACACUUUGCAGGGACAACAAGCCAAAAAAUUGUAAUUAAACCAAAGCGAGUGACUACAAAAGGCAAGGGAGUUAACCAAAUCUAAACAAACACUUGUGAACAAAAGUUGUUAUAUAAAUAGAAUGCUUAUUGAAGGUUUAUUAAGAGUAUUUAGUAGUGUAUACAUUUGACUUUUGUAUUUGUAACCUACAUAGAGUUCUAAUAAUUAUUUUUAGUCUAUAAAAUAUCUUUGAACUUGGCAUCAAAAAGCUGCAAAACUUACAUUCAAAACCACAUUUUCACUUUGCCAUUCAUUUAACAUCUCCAACAUUUGUUAAAUGUUGGAGAUCAGUGUGAUCAGUGAUCAUUUGUAUAAUAUUAUACAAAUGGGUGAAGUAGAGGUGCUACUUGAGCAUGCCCUUGCAUUGCAGAAACAAGCAGAUAUCACAAACACCAAUACUGAUGAUUAUACUUUACUGUCCAAAACCAUUAUUCCCCAUCCUGCAACUAAAAUAUAGGUUUGUGUUUUGAAUCAAAAUAGUCAGAGUAAGCUUUUGCAGUGACUUUUAAUUUGAGAUACUUGUACCUUUUAUUGUGAUAUCACUUUCUAGCAUUUUAGUUUUACCAGAGACUGUCAUAGAAUCGUUGCAAUGAUCCUCUACUGGUGUAAAAUUGAAAGAAAUGCAGGAAAUUUAAUAAGAACAGAGUAAUGAUAAAACUCCCCUGAUGGAGUCUAUAUGAUUUGCUCUUCCUCUUGUAGAUGCCCUCACUUCCAAACUAACCACUGAUACAUGCAACACAAUCAUAUAGAUGAACUAUGCUACUAAAGAUUUAAUAAAACAUUUGGAGGGUUAGAUGAGUGGGAUGAGAUUCAACCUCAACACAAAAAUUAUUUAUUUGAUAAACCCAUCAUCAAUCUUAUCUAAUAUUGUUAAAAGCUAAAUUUUAAAAGCUCAUCCCCCCUGCCCUGCGAAAUGUGAUUAUGUUGGAACUGGAGACAAUCACAGAAGACAGUGAUAUUGAAGAAGUGGAACUGGAAAUCAUCACAGAAGACAGUGAUAGUGAAGAAAUGUAACGAAUUCACACCUAAUUUAAGCUGAAAUUAAGUUUAGUGUUUUUGAAUCAAAACAGUGACAUCUGCAGAGAUCAAGUUUAAUUGAGAUACCUGUACCUUUUAUUGUGAUCUCUGUUUCUAACAUUAUCAUCUUACCGGAAGCUGUCAUGGCAAUAAUCUGGUACUAGUAUAAAUUUGAAAGAAUUGCCAACAAAAUCAAUAAUGAUAGCACUCCCUUGCUUCAGUCUGUAAUUUUUGCUCUUCUUUUUCUAGGAACCCUCACCACAUAACCAGUCACUGAUAUAUAAAGCAAAAUCAUACAGAUUGCAGCAGAGUGUAGGGAACUCUCUAUAGAUACCAUGAUAAAUUGCUUUUAAGUACGGAUCGGAUAAGCCACCAACAGUAUGUCAAGUAGAGGUGCAACUUGACCAAUUGUGAUUAUACUUUAUUGUCCAUAACCGUUACCUGAAAAAGUGUACAACUGGGUACAAUGAAGGGGUAAAAACGGCAAUCAAAGAAAUAGUAUUUUGACUGAUACCUUUAAUUUUUCCCUUGCCAUUAUUAGAGUAGAUGAAUCUACCAAACCAUAUCUAGGACCAUAUUGGAUGAAUUUCUGUAUAAAUAUUUCUAGAAAAAAAAAAUCUUUGAACUAGCAGUAGUUUUUUCACAUCUUGACUAAGUCAGAGUUUUAUAUGCAGGCCUUGGAUCUUAUUUGGGGAAGAUUCCAACCCAACCUUAAUAUGCUUCACAAGCCAAACAAUUGAGGAGCAACAUAGUUCAAUGUGUAUGGUAAGUGACAAGUGAGAUCUACUUAAGCAAGCAAGGUGUCACAAAUUGGAACUAUGUUUCUGAAUUGUUUGGGCAUGUGUUGUUCGAAGCCCACAACAAAUACAACUUCAUCUCAGAGACAGUUUCCAACGUUGAUAGAAGAGCUGUGCCAUCAAUUUUCUCUCACCGAUCUUAGGAAAGCCACCAAUAACUUUGAUCAGAAGAGAGUAAUAGGAAGUGGAAUAUUUAGUGAAGUAUACAAAGGGUGUCUGCAGCAUGAUGGUGCUUCUGAUUACCCGGUCGCAAUAAAGCGAUUUCAUUAUCAAGGAUGGGAAGCGUUCAACAAGGAAAUCGAAUUGCUAUGCCAGCUUCGUCACCCUAGAUGUGUUUCUCUUAUAGGAUUCUGCAACCACCAAAAUGAGAAGAUUCUUGUAUACGAGUACAUGUCCAAUGGAUCUCUAGAUAAACACCUACAUGAUGGUGAACUAUCAUGGAAGAAGAGGCUAGAGAUCUGCAUAGGAGUAGCACGUGGACUACACUACCUUCACACUGGUGCCAAGCGUUCCAUCUUUCACUGUAUCCUCGGUCCUAGUACCAUCCUUUUGGAUGACCACAUGGAGCCAAAACUCGCUGGUUUCGGUGUUAGCGUGCAGGGAUCACGUUUUAUGUCAAAGCAGAAGCAAAUCAAUGUAGAUCAUAUUUUGGGUAAAUUUUGUUUUGUUGUAUGAGUUCACUCACUGCAAUGAAUUUUUGUGGAUCAAACUAAGCCAAUACUCUUUGUUGUAGGUACUUGGGGCUACCCGGCUACGGACUAUAUCAUGGAUGGUACCAUCACAGCUAAAUGGGAUGUUUUCACAUUUGGUUUCCUUCUACUAAAAGUUGUGUCCAGGGGGAUGUUUUAUUUAAUAAGCCUGACUGAAAAAGAAUGUCUGGAGAAUCCUGUUGAGGAGAGAAUUGAUCCGAUUAUCAAAGGAAAGAUUGCACCAGAUUGUUGGCAAUUGUUUGUAGAUAUGAUGGUAACUUGCUUGAAGUAUGAACCAGAUGAGAGACCAACAAUUGGUGAAGUGGAGGUGCAACUUGAGCAUGCUCUAUCAAUGCAGGA